rnacentral:lncRNA from 10 species
AUUUGAUAUUUUUUACAUGUAUACUUCAUAGGUAAUAUUGUGAUCUUCCAUCAGAAGGCACCUAAAGACUAGUUAACCCUCAUUCUGUGAUUUUAGCAGCUAUUGAUGAUCAUUACCUAGAUCCAUUAUUUCACUAUGGAUUGAAAAAAUGAUAAUAUUCUAAUUUUGUUAUUAUUUAUUUGACAGCUAGAAGACUUCUGUUAGGAGAAGCGUUAUCCUGUCAGUUGAUUACCCUGAGAUUUGUUCAACUGAGAGAGUGCUUAACUCAGGAGAUCAAUAAAGGUUCAUAGAGGAAGAAGUAUUUGAAAUUGUCCUGGAAGAACAAUAUUUUUCAACAGGCAGAGAUGGAGAAAGGACAAUCUACAUGAACAGAACAGCAUGAGCAAAAAGAACUGGUUAGAGACUAUCCAUAGGAUAAAUUUCUAGCAAAUUGCUGAGUCCAGGAUAUGCAUGUUUGCAAUUUUGGAAGAUCUUAAAAACUUGCCUCCUAUAGGUGUUGUACCAGUAUAUACUUCUGCCAGUAAUAGAUGGGUGGGCUGCUGAUGCCUCAAAAUGUAAGUAUUUUCAAACUUUUAAAUUUUAGCCCAUUUAACAUAAUUUAAAAAUUAUGUCUCUGUGUGAUUUUAGUUCCAUUUCCCUUAUUAUAUAUAAGACUGAACAUCUUGGCAUAUGUUUAAGGGCCAUCUGCAUUUCCUUUUCUGUGCACUGUCAGCUUAUAUGCUUUGCCCAUUUUUUCUAGUAGAUGGUUAGUGUUUUUCUUAUUGAUUUGUAUAUAUUCUGUAUUACUCCUUUAUCACAUUGCCACAAAGAAAUGCCUGAGAUGGUGUCAUUUAUAGAGAAAAGAGGUUUAAUUGGCUCACAGUUCCACAGGCUAUACAGGAAGCAUGGCUGAGGAGGCCUCAGGAAACUUAACAAUCAUGGCAGAAGGUGAAGGGGAAGCAGGCACAUCUACACAUGGCCAGAGCAGGAGGAAGAGAGAGAAGGAAGAGGUGCUACACCCUUUUAAGCAACCAGAUCUUGUGAGAUCUCACUAUCGUGAGAAUAGCAAGGAGGAAAUCUGCCCCCAUGAUUCAGUCACCUCCUGCCAGACCCCUCCUCCAACAUUAGGGAUUACAAUUCGACACGAGAUUGCCGGUGGGACACAAAUCCAAACCAUAUCAUAUUCUUUAUACAUUUGGGAAAUUAACUUUUUUCUGUAAUAUGAUUUACAAAUAUUUUUCUCAGAUUGGCAUUUGUUUUUUGACUUUUCAUAUUGUGCAUUUUGCCAUGGGAAGUUUUUUUUGUCAUUAAAUUUACCUAUUCUUUCAUUCAUAUGGCUUCUGGGUCCUAUAUUAUACUUAGACCUUUACCAUUCUGAAAUUAUGUAAGAAAAAUUCUCUCAGGGUUUUUUCCUAGUAAUUUUAAGACUUUACUUUUAAUAUUUUGGAUUUAUCCAGAUGUAGACUAUAAGAUAAGGAUCCACAUUUUUUCCCCAGCUCUACAUUUUGCUGCUAGAAGAUUUUACAAAAUUUUGCAAUUACUUAGUAACUUACAUUUCUUCCCAAUUGAUUUUGAAAUCUGUAAGAGCAGAAACUUUGAUUUCAUAUUUUUAUUCUCUCACAUGCCUGCCCUUUAAUGCACUUCAACCCCAGCCCCAAGUUUUGCCUAGUACUUGGCAGUUAGGUAGUUGUUACUUCUGCAUCUCUUGACUGCUGGGGAGGAAAGAUUCCACCUGAGUUAAGGCAAGUCCUACCCAGGAUGUGGCUGCAAAUGAGACUGCAAAGUUCUCGACCGAUGUCUUUUCAUUAAACUCUGGCUUUUACCAAGUACAAGUACCAAGUGAGUCAUACCGACACAUGUAGAGGAUGGCAUCCUGAGGGGAAAAGAAUUAUAGUGGAAAUAACCAAGGCUGCUUGGAGAAAAGCUUCUCAGCUGGCACUGCAGAACAGCAGCCACUGCCACAGCAAACAGCAAAACAAUAACAAGCUUACUUGCAGAAGGUGGGAAGCUGCAGACGUAAAUGCAGGCUCCCUUCCCAGGCUACCAGCAGUCCCUGGGGAUGAAGUAGUCUAAAUGGGCAGCAGUUGUGGAGUCCUCCCCGCUCACAGGAAUGGAAGAUGUCACUCACUAGCAGAAGUGCUCUGGGGUGGCAAUGAGGAGUACUGUCUUUGGACUCUGACAGGAACAUCUGGAUGGCACCAGGCUCAGGGAGACGGGUCUUGUGUGUCCUGCUAAGCACUAACAGCAAUAAUUGAGCAGCAGCAAUCUGCCUCACAUCAUUCUAGGCCCUAGGAGGGCACAAAGUUGGUUCUUGGCUCAGGUUAUCAGGAAAGUAACGUAUGUGCGUACAAAUAAAGUGUCCAACAGCAGAAAGGGAUGCCCUGAACAGUCCAGGUUGCACAAAGGAGUAUGGACAAACAAGUAGUUUCAUCCAGCUGGGAGCACUAGGAAAGCUCAGAAGGAGGAUGCCUCCAGGAGCCAGUGAGUGUAUUCUGUCACCAGGUGCCUUGGAGAGUGGAGGAUCUGGAGGGCACUUUUUGAGGCUGAUAGGAAGAAAGCAGACGGGUGGAGUGGUAGAUGGAAUGACGCCCUCACCCUCUGCAAUGUUCACAUUCUAAUCCCUGAGAUAUGUGAAUAUGUUACUCUAGCUGACAAAAGGGACUUUGCAGAUGUGAUUAAGGAUUUUGAGCUGGGGAGGUGACUCUGAAUUACAUGAAUGGGCCCAGUAUAAUCACAAGGGUCCUUAUAAUAGGGAGACUGGAGUGUCAGAGUCACAGAUGAGCUGUGAUGAUGGACGCAGUGGUGAGAGAGAGAUGUGAAGAUGGAAGGAGAGGGCCAUGGGCCAAGGAAUGUGGGUGGUCUCUAAAAGCUGGAAAAGGCAAGAAAAUGGAUCCUCCCCUAGAGACUCCAGCAGGAACAAAACCCUGCUGACACCUUGACUGUAGGACUUCCAACCUCCAGAACUAUAAAAUAAUAAAUUCAUGUUGUUUUAAACCACUAAGAUUGUCGUAAUUUGUUACAACAGCCAUGGGAAAUGAGCACAGGUGGAUUAGACACUUCAAGAGAUGUAAUUUCUUUGUGUAAUUCUUUCUGGGAAGCUCCAUGAA